rnacentral:miRNA from 1 species
GCAGACACAUUCCAGCCAAUCAGCAGCAGACCCUCCCUCCCAGACCCUCCCACCUCCUGGACAGCUCACUAAGAAUGCAGCUUCACAAUGAAUGUAAAAUGGAUGCUGUCCAGGAGGUGGGAGGGUCUGGGAGGGAGGGUCUGCUGCUGAUUGGAUGGAAUGUGUCUG